AUGAUGCAUAGCCGAGUUGAGAGACUGAUCGGCCACAUUGGGACCGAGACACGGCCCAAACUCCUACGGGAGGCAGCAGUAGGGAAUCUUCCACAAUGGACGCAAGUCUGAUGGAGCAACGCCGCGUGAGUGAAGAAGGGUUUCGGCUCGUAAAGCUCUGUUGGUAGUGAAGAAAGAUAGAGGUAGUAACUGGCCUUUAUUUGACGGUAAUUACCUAGAAAGUCACGGCUAACUACGUGCCAGCAGCCGCGGUAAUACGUAGGUGGCAAGCGUUGUCCGGAUUUAUUGGGCGUAAAGCGAGUGCAGGCGGUUCAAUAAGUCUGAUGUGAAAGCCUUCGGCUCAACCGGAGAAUUGCAUCAGAAACUGUUGAACUUGAGUGCAGAAGAGGAGAGUGGAACUCCAUGUGUAGCGGUGGAAUGCGUAGAUAUAUGGAAGAACACCAGUGGCGAAGGCGGCUCUCUGGUCUGCAACUGACGCUGAGGCUCGAAAGCAUGGGUAGCGAACAGGAUUAGAUACCCUGGUAGUCCAUGCCGUAAACGAUGAGUGCUAAGUGUUGGGAGGUUUCCGCCUCUCA
rnacentral:rRNA from 1 species